CUCACUCUGUGUCUGGGCUCCAAGCAUCUCUCCGGAACAUUCUACGCCAGGAAAUGAAACAGGGAGAGCCAGCAUGAGUGCUAAUACCUUCUGACAUAGCACUUGACUGUGAAUAUUACAAUGAAGGAGGACUGCCACAUGUGUAGAACUCAAGAUCUGCAGGAUGGCAGGCAAGCUGGGGACCCAGGGAAGAUUUGA